rnacentral:precursor_RNA from 15 species
UAUAUAUAUAUACAAGAACAGAAUAUUAUAAGGUAAACUUUGUUCAGUUUUGCCGGGUUCUAUGUUGUGCGCAUCACUGGGUGAAGUUUGUCGUAUAAUCGAAACGAAACAGCAAGGAAAAAGUC